rnacentral:lncRNA from 1 species
CAAGUACCAUGGUAUUUUCAAAUGACAAUAAACUUAAUCAAGAAGUAAAACCAACAAGGAAAAUGUUUUUUUGACAACAGAAUUUUGACAACGAUUUGCCAACGACAGCUGGCUUGCUCUCAUUGGCUGGAAUUAUUGAAUUUUUUUAAAUCAAAACAAGGGAGGGGAAGGGCAUUUGUGGAAAAGGGUUUCUGGAAUACAAACGGUUCGUGCCUAAGGAAGUUUCUCUCUCCACAAAAUCAUCUCUCUUUGUCGACACCAAACCCAAACUCUCGCUCCACGAUUCCGAACUCUGUCGACGCCAUCGAAGACGUGUAUAUCUCUAUCCGCCAAUAUUUGUAUUGAAGGUUGACAUUGAAUGGUUUUGUUUCCGUGAUUGAUUUCAUCUCCGUCCGCCAUUGAAGUGUUGGUUGGAAGUGUCGAAAAGGGCGAACAUUGUCAUCUUUUCUCCAAAGGAGAGGUUUUUUUGCUGUCGGCGUUCUUACUUGGUGGGUUUCAUUCGGUUUUAAUGUAUUUUGUGAUCUUUAUUCUAACAUGCCGUUGUUACAUGCACGUAAUGUACGAUUGUGAACUCUCUAACCC